ensembl:lncRNA
GAUGCCAUAUUGCGUUUUGCCGUUCCGAGCUGUGAAGCGUCGUAGAACAGGAGCCCGCAUCCCACUCCCGUUUUCUGAAUUAGUUUUAUUUUUCCGGAUCCUCGGCAUAUGCUCGAGUUGCUUUGUAGAGAGUACCUUCCACUUCAUUCAGACCAAAGAGGCUCUGACUCAUUCCGUCACCGCACUACGAGGCAGGCAGGGCUGCACCACGCAUGUUUGGGUACUCGCUCCCGCUGCGCUCCUCGCACACGCUCCGGCAGAAUCCUCGCGCGUCUCUCCCGGCUGCGCGCAGACCACUGCCCGCCUCUCCCAGAAUAAAUGAAUGGGAGGAACGCAGCCACAGGGCAGCGUCUGCUCUGCUUGCUGGCAGCCCGACUGCCGCACAGGGAACCGCUCGCUCUGCUUUGGCAUCGGGAAGGGAGGCACGGCGCUGAGAAAGCUUCUCCCCACCCCGAAGUCACCGCACGAAAUGCUGCAUAAGCCCCCGAGGCUGGCUCUCAGCCCCAAAAGGGCUCCGAGAGCACCGUGCGCGCUCCCUGUGCUGUGGCUGCCCAGGGCAGGCUGUUGGCUGAGCCUCUUCCAAUCCGCCCCCAGCACAGCUGUGAGCUCCAAGCAGAUGUCUCCGUGCAGAUGUGUCAUGUGUGCGUCCACAGGUAGUACCGCUGUGUUUUAGCAUUGGAUCUAGCAUUAGUCUGCAUGCAAAAGACCAUAGGGCUCUGUCAGUAUGCAGAUCAGCAAGACAGUCCCUUCUAUGAAUGACUGUACUCAUCCUCUGUAUUUCCUAGAGAAUGUGCUAACAACAUGGUAAUCUGCACAGCUCUUGACUGAGAGUUGGUACUGUCACACAGACUGGCUUUAGGAGCAUAAAGGUAUUUUAACAGUGCAACUUCCACCUCUCCGGAUCAGGUUCGCUACGUAACCCAAAGUGCUUGCCUGUUUCAGAGCGCUCUGGGGACAGCAGCAGGCCCGGAUGUCUGGACGAACAUGCCACUCAGCAACGAGAUGGUGCAUCUACAGCCAUGUGGCAGACAGCAAAAAUAUCCUCACCCAGCUAAUGCAAGGUUCAUUGAUUUAAUGAAAGGAACCAUGGGAGAGAGGCAGAGGCUGGAGACAGCUGGAAAUCAAGUGGAGGCCCCGCAGAAGUUGCCACCCCAUCCUCUGCAUUCUGUUCUGCAGACGCGGCAUUCUCCCGCCUGCCACCUUUUUUUAUUCCAGUUGUACUCCUGUUACCUCAGGAGAAAGGAAUCUUUCCUUCUCAAACCUCCACCUUGCCAAGAGGUGUGGCACACGCCGUGGAAGAGAAGCCACAUUCAUGCUGAAGCAAGCUUUGGGCAACUUUCCCUUCUGCGGCAGGCUCGUGCAGCCUCUGCCCACGUCCCGGGGAAGUGCCGUAACUGCAGCCAGCCGCAUCAGGUUCACAAACUCACCUCCGUUUUGACGUGGUUACAUAACAGAGAUAAGGGGACAGUGCCUUUGCUGACAUUGCCUGGCACGCAGGAUGCUCUUCUACGUCACAAGAUGCCAUUAUGCCUCUGCAGUUCCUCUUUUGAGGGCCUAUGGCAGGGCUCAAAGCGUUCCCCCAGAAGCGAGCAGCACGCGGCAUGGUGGGGGCACCGAGGGUGGGAAGCAGCACCUGAGCGAGAUCUCAUGUGCUGCCACGGCCUGGACAAAGGUCCCUCAUUGUCUGUCAAGGCAGCGCAGUCCAUUGACCCAGACGUGCAGAACUAUGCCAGAGGUGAAAGUCGUUUGCUACAGAAAACAGACACAAUUGCAGACCAGGACAGUUCUGACAAUAAGAAUGGAGAGAGGCACUGUGGCAGUGCAGAACGUACAGAUCAGGGCUCCAGCACGACGGUGUGAGUUGGACACAGGAACCCACUCGAGCAGUGCCUCCUGCCAGUAACGUGCUGAAACUGGUCAGACUCCCAGCUGAAUGCGUUCUUGACCAAAAGACAGUCAUCAGUUUGACAUGCAGGAGGCACGUCAUCUAGGAGAGACUGUCUUUCAGUGCACUGAUGUCGUGCCAUCAACAUGCACGCUUUAUGUAAUUAGUAUCUGUAAGAAAUGGGAAAGUAAGAGGUAACACAAGUUGGAUUUUUUUUUUUAACAUCCACGUUCAGGGAAAUCCAGUGAUUGACGAUGCACUGCAUGUGAACAGUAAUCUUACAAUUAUCGAUCAUUACAGUCUAAGACUUCAAUUUGUCAUAAAAUGACAUUGUUGGUCUCAUUACAGCCUCUAGUGGACAGUAGUAAUCCACUUCACAGACCUGUCAUACAAGCUGCUCAGAUGACAAGUGUUAUCAAGGUGGGGGUUACGCUGAAAGAACACGAGGACACGGUCGUGCUUGUCCCGUGGCAGGAAGGAUUUUCCAAUAUAGUCGAGAGUUUGCUGGCAUUGAUCUGAAGGUGCCUUGCUUUAUGCUUCAGGUAUCAGUGCUGGCUCGUAAAUAAACAGAGAACUUUGCUCUCAAUUUCCAUCUCAGACAGCUUUCAUAAAAAAAAAAAAAAACCUAAAUUAAUCUCAAAUGUUUU